AUUGAACGCUGGCGGCAGGCCUAACACAUGCAAGUCGAGCGGUAACACAGGGAGCUUGCUCCCGGGUGACGAGCGGCGGACGGGUGAGUAAUGUCUGGGAAACUGCCUGAUGGAGGGGGAUAACUACUGGAAACGGUAGCUAAUACCGCAUAAUGUCGCAAGACCAAAGAGGGGGACCUUCGGGCCUCUUGCCAUCAGAUGUGCCCAGAUGGGAUUAGCUAGUAGGUGGGGUAACGGCUCACCUAGGCGACGAUCCCUAGCUGGUCUGAGAGGAUGACCAGCCACACUGGAACUGAGACACGGUCCAGACUCCUACGGGAGGCAGCAGUGGGGAAUAUUGCACAAUGGGCGCAAGCCUGAUGCAGCCAUGCCGCGUGUAUGAAGAAGGCCUUCGGGUUGUAAAGUACUUUCAGCGGGGAGGAAGGUGCUGAGGUUAAUAACCUCAGCAAUUGACGUUACCCGCAGAAGAAGCACCGGCUAACUCCGUGCCAGCCGCCGCCGCCG
rnacentral:rRNA from 1 species